rnacentral:tRNA from 1 species
CAGAGAGUAGUUUAAGUUAAAAUAUUAAUUUUGGAUAUUAAUGAUAAAUUUUUUUCUCUUUGA